CGAUAUGCCUGUACACGGCACGCCUGUAUGCAACACACCUACAUGUGACAUGCCUGUACAUGGCACGCCUGUACACGGCACACCUACAUGCAACAUGUCUGUACAUGACAUGCCUGUACACGACAUACACGAUAUAUCUCCCUGUGGCUGCAGCAGCCUCUCUGGAUUAACCAGCCUUCUCUGCAGUGAGGGACUAGCAUCUCCUUGUGACAAGCAACAGGAGUAAGCACUCUAAAGACACAAAACUCACUGGAGAUUUGAUUCUUAUUUGGUAACUGAUCCUUCACUGGUUGUUUGAACAUGGGACAAUUAUUCAACUCCAGUUUUCUCAACUGAAAUGGUAAUAAUGAGACCAAUGCCUCUGAUACUGCCUCAGAUAACACCAGUGAGAGCCCACUGCCUGGCUUGUGGUAGAUCCUAUAGAGUAAUGUGGUUUUCUUCUCGGCUUUCUCCUAGCCAGCUUCUCACCAUGAUAUUCUAUUUGAAAGUGCAUUUGGUGAGAAAUACUUGCAUAAGUAACAGAUAACCUACUAGUGCUUUAAACAAAGAGAGGCUUUCAGACUUCCUUGGUAGUCCAGUGGCUAAGAAUCCAUCUGCCAAUGCAGGGGACAUGGGUUCAGCCCCUGGUCCAGGAAGAUUCCACAUGCCUUGGGGGAACUAAGCCCACGAGAUGAGCCACAGCUGCUGAAGCCUGCAUGCUCUAGAGCCCAGGCUCUGAAACAAGAGCAGCCUCCACACUGAGCUUGAGCACCACACUGAAGAGGAGCCCCUGCUCGCCGCAACUAAAUCUUACCCUCAAGGUUGCAAGACAGCUGCAUGUGUUCCAGGCACCACAUCUCCACUGAAGGCAAGAAGGGGAAGAGGUGGUGGUCUUCUACGUCUCUUCUAACAGGAAAAAAAAGGCUUCCCAGAAACACGUGCCAGCGGACUCUGCCUUGCAUUCUGUUGACCAGCUCUGCCACAUGGCCACCCCCUGCAAGACGCUCUCAUUCCUCACUUUCUGCUCUAGGAGGGGUCAAGACAGAAGCCUCUCCCCUGGGUGUACCCAGCCGUGCUUCCUGCUCCAGCCUGCGUCCAUCAGCUGCAGCUCCAGGCUCCGAUAGCAGCUUCAGCAGGAUGGCGAGUGACCUCCUGCACAAACCGCCUUCAUCUCCAUCACCUGCAUCUCCCAAGAGGCAGCUAGUUUGCCAAAGCAGGGAGAUGCGAGCAUGUACUACGGGAAAAGCAUUAGGAGGCGGGGAGGAGAUGAGGAGCCCCGCCCCCAGCUCCCCAGAGCAGCAACGGUAGCGCUAACACGCUCCCAUAAAGACCUCCCGAAUCCGCAUUUCACUCUUCAGAUCAAGAAGCCACUGGGACCAGGUCAGACGAGAGCAUCAGGAAGGCAGCCCACUGAUAAUAUAGAUUAUGGGAGUGUUUGGGUCGCACCAGUGCUGUGAAAUUGAUCGGCUCCAUUCAGCACCUUGCGAAUCAACAGAGGAAAUCAAUGGUUGGCAGACGGUGUGGAGGAUUGAAUUCUGAGGCACGACCACUAUAUAACAUAAUCACCCGGAUCCUUCUCGUUGCCCUGACCAGGGCUUCACUGGAAAUGCCACACAAAACAGACUCAGCUGUUUUCAUUUCACUCCCUGAUACACGUCCAUACCAGCCAGGCUCUCUGCCUAUGAUGAGCAAUGCAGGACUGGAAGAAAAACCUGGCUUCCUUCUGUGUCGUAACUCCCAUCACAAGCCUUUGUCUAACACAGUCAGGCACAGGGCUUAGAAAGAUGGGUUCCUUGGUCGCUGGUGGAGAACAUGCACCUCCCUUCUGUGUUCAAAGCAAGUUCUGGUUCAAAAAGAAAGCUUGGCCUCCAGGAGCUGUCAGCGACCCCACACUCUAGGUCACACAUAGCAGGUGAGGGAACCUCUUCCUUCCCUUAGCAACCUCAUCUGAUAGCAGCCAAUGAGAGUGGCCCCAGUCCCCACAUCCCACUGCACCUGAUCGGCCAGUCAUCAAGCCGGACAGAGAAAGCUGGCCUUAGGGUCAGC
ensembl:lncRNA